ensembl:lncRNA
UGUAUACAGUAUCUCAUGUAAAUUUUAAUCUUACUUUGCUUAAUUUGUAUGACUGUUACUUUGAAUUAAACCAAAAACUGCAUUUAAGGUCUUAAACAAUGGAAGCUUGUUUCCACCACUAGAUAAAAAAUAAUAAUAAUAAUAAUAACAAUAAAAGUGAUGCAGUGAUUUUCAAGCAGACGAAGUCUUUCAAGUUGUAUUUUAUUUGAAUCAAAAAAUCAUAAAUGACAACAAUAACAGAAAAUAAACUGAGCAUAGUGGAGUAUAUUCUGUAAAAUCAUAAUCCGAAUUUUCUCAAAAUUGCUUGCACAAUAUUAUGUUAUACAAUGUGUUUGUGUUUUUAAAUCACCUUUGCAUUCGUUAAAAUCACCAGGAAUGUUUGGUGUAUGGGGAAGUUCUUUUUCAGCACGAUAGAUAGAGCACGAAUCUUUAACGACACUCCCCGGAGACUUGCGUUCUGAACUGCCUCAAUACACACCUGAAGCAAUGGAACAAAACGCUGCAAUACGUGCCUGUACUGACGUAAUAAAAAACAUGGCCACGGUCACGUGUUGAACACGCGUUUUAGCGAAACACUCGAGCUUGCCGCGAAACGUGCAGUAAGGCACGCAAUACACAUUUCCACGUAUUUCCAGUGAGCCUGGGUGGGGAAAAAUCUGAAUUGCGAGGAUAAAUGAAUCAUAGCCAACUAUUUCUUCAAUAUCAUGUGAAAAUAAAACAUGCUUCCCAUCACUGGUGUCAGCAGAGUUAACCUUGUUCUGUUUCCAUUUGCUGCAUGGACCUGUUUAUUAGAAAGAGAAAUGGAAUUAAUUCACAUGUUAAGGGUUAUAAGCACAUAUUCGUCAUGUUAUCAAUCAGUGUGUAUCUGUAAUUAUAUGGUGUAACCUGCUUAUGUGGAGAAAAUUAAAGGAAAAAAAGGAAUUUUAGAUUGGAGAACUAUAUUCUCAAGAUGGAAAAAAACUUGUGUUAUUUAAUUAGAUGUUCAAACACAACAUGCAUUACUUGAAAACAAGGAUUUUUCAUAGUUUCUAAUUUUUAAUAUUUAAAGUUUUCAUACCAUGCAUACGUUCAAAUGCUUUAAAAUUGUUUAUAAAAUAAAAAGAAUAAAGAAAGAAAAAAAGGCGGA